GCCGGGGUGGCUCAGCCUGGCGGAGCGUCGGACUCAUAAUCCGAAGGUCGCGGGUUCAAACCCCGCCCCCGGCA
rnacentral:tRNA from 1 species